rnacentral:rRNA from 1 species
AGAGUUUGAUCCUGGCUCAGGAUUAACGCUGGCGGCGUGCCUAAUACAUGCAAGUCGGAUGGUUAGCUUGCUAACCAUGGCGAACGGGUGAGUAACACGUAGGCAACCUGUCUGUAAGACGAGGAUAACCAUUGGAAACGAUGGAUAAUACUGGAUAGGAUAUAUUGAGGCAUCUUAAUAUAUUUAAAGAUUUAUCACUUACGGAGGGGCCUGCGGCGCAUUAGCUAGUUGGGGAGGUAGAGGCUCACCAAGGCGAUGAUGCGUAGCCGGACUGAGAGGUUGAACGGCCACAAUGGGACUGAGAACGGCCCAUACUCCUACGGGAGGCGGCAGUAGGGAAUUUUCGGCAAUGGGCGGAAGCCUGACCGAAGCAACGCCGCGUGAACGAAGAAGUAUUUCGGUAUGUAAAGUUCUUUUAUUUGGGAAGAAAAGACAGAUUGACUGUACCAAAUGAAUAAGCUCCGGCUAACUACGUGCCAGCCGCUGC